rnacentral:rRNA from 1 species
GUGGGGAAUAUUGGACAAUGGGGGGAACCCUGAUCCAGCCAUUCCGCGUGUGUGAAGAAGGCCUUUUGGUUGUAAAGCACUUUAAGCGAGGAGGAGGCUACCGAGAUUAAUACUCUUGGAUAGUGGACGUUACUCGCAGAAUAAGCACCGGCUAACUCUGUGCCAGCAGCCGCGGUAAUACAGAGGGUGCAAGCGUUAAUCGGAUUUACUGGGCGUAAAGCGCGCGUAGGUGGCCAAUUAAGUCAAAUGUGAAAUCCCCGAGCUUUACGUGGGAAUUGCAUUCGAUACUGGUUGGCUAGAGUAUGGGAGAGGAUGGUAGAAUUCCAGGUGUAGCGGUGAAAUGCGUAGAGAUCUGGAGGAAUACCGAUGGCGAAGGCAGCCAUCUGGCCUAAUACUGACACUGAGGUGCGAAAGCAUGGGGAGCAAACAGGAUUAGAUACCCUGGUAGUCC